rnacentral:rRNA from 1 species
GAGCGAACGCUGGCGGCAGGCUUAACACAUGCAAGUCGANCGGGCGUAGCAAUACGUCAGCGGCAGACGGGUGAGUAACGCGUGGGAACGUACCUUUUGGUUCGGAACAACACCAGGGAAACUUGUGCUAAUACCGGAUAAGCCCUUACGGGGAAAGAUUUAUCGCCGAAAGAUCGGCCCGCGUCUGAUUAGCUAGUUGGUGAGGUAACGGCUCACCAAGGCGACGAUCAGUAGCUGGUCUGAGAGGAUGAUCAGCCAACAUUGGGACUGAGACACGGCCCAAACUCCUACGGGAGGCAGCAGUGGGGAAUAUUGGACAAUGGGCGCAAGCCUGAUCCAGCCAUGCCNNANGAGUGAUGAAAGCCCUAGGUUGUAAAGCUCUUUUGUGCGGAAGAUAAUGACGGUA